AUCAUACAACGGACAAAAUUUUGGAAUCGUAUCACACCAAACAAUUUUGGGUGCAAUGCGCAGUCUGUCCUGUGGGUGGCAGUAAUGGGGAAAAAGUAAUUAAUUGUGCGAUAACUUUUAUGUCAAGAGGAAAGACUGCAUGCAGAGACCACAUGCUUCAGAGAGAAGGAGCUUCGCAUACUCAUCAGAACUACACCAAAAAAAAGGAGACGGUAGGUGAUAUGAAGCAGACGCGACUGUGCAAAGACAAAAUCUGGUAAUGUAAACAGCUGGGUUAAUUCCUGUGUUUUCCUGAAAGAUCGCUGCCGUCACACUAUGAGUUUAAGAAACACGUCUGUUCUGAGCUCUAAUGGACUGUAUGUGGGUAACAGAUGACUGACAAAGAGAUCCUGGAGAAUGCUGUGAAUACACAAUAUUAUUUUAUACUGGUACAUUUCAUUUAAUUUACAUUUCUGAAGAAAUGUGCAACAGCUAAAGAAAGAGUUACAUAUAUACCCCUUUCUGAAAUUAAAGCAACUUCAUAUCAUUUUGCAACAUGGGGUUUGUUCAAACUGUUUUUGUGAACUGUUUAUGUUUUAGUCACCAGAACAGGCAACAUGUCAACUGCCUGGAUUCUCACAGAGCGCUUACACAUUUUUAACCAUAAAAUGAACUUAUCCAGACUCAGUGAACUGUUCAUUACUGGAUCUGUGCUUACAUCCACUUUGCAUAACUAAACCUACCAGAUAUCAUGGAGAGAAUCGACCUGUUCAAGAAAAAUCACCCAAUGGUGUUCCACAGGGCUCAGUGCUCAGCCCGCUUUUUCUAUCAUUAUAAUGCAGAUGAUACUCCACUAUCAUUCUCAACCCACAGGAAUAAAUUUGCACCUCUGCAUGUUUGACAAGUAUGUCCUCUUGGAUGAACACUUCAGAAAUUUACUUUGAAAAUCAAGCUGCUGCUUUCACAGGCCAGAACCAACUUGUGUGUGUGUGU